rnacentral:tRNA from 1 species
AGGCCCGAUGGCGGAGUGGUGACGCAGCGGACUGCAAAUCCGUAUACGCCGGUUCGAUUCCGGCUCGGGCCUCCAU